GAUGAACGCUGGCGGCGUGCCUAAUACAUGCGAGUCGAGCGAACAGACGAGGAGCUUGCUCCUCUGACGUUAGCGGCGGACGGGUGAGUAACACGUGGAUAACCUACCUAUAAGACUGGGAUAACUUCGGGAAACCGGAGCUAAUACCGGAUAAUAUAUUGAACCGCAUGGUUCAAUAGUGAAAGACGGUUUUGCUGACACUUAUAGAUGGAUCCGCGCCGCAUUAGCUAGUUGGUAAGGUAACGGCUUACCAAGGCGACGAUGCGUAGCCGACCUGAGAGGGUGAUCGGCCACACUGGAACUGAGACACGGUCCAGACUCCUACGGGAGGCAGCAGUAGGGAAUCUUCCGCAAUGGGCGAAAGCCUGACGGAGCAACGCCGCGUGAGUGAUGAAGGUCUUCGGAUCGUAAAACUCUGUUAUUAGGGAAGAACAAAUGUGUAAGUAACUAUGCACGUCUUGACGGUACCUAAUCAGAAAGCCACGGCUAACUACGUG
rnacentral:rRNA from 1 species